rnacentral:rRNA from 1 species
CGCGGCCUAUCAGCUUGUUGGUGGGGUAAUGGCCUACCAAGGCGACGACGGGUAGCCGGCCUGAGAGGGCGACCGGCCACACUGGGACCGAGACACGGCCCAGACUCCUACGGGAGGCAGCAGCGGGGAAUAUUGCACAAUGGGCGAAAGCCUGAUGCAGCGACGCCGCGUGAGGGAUGACGGCCUUCGGGUUGUAAACCUCUUUCAGCAGGGACAAAGCGUAAGUGACGGUACCUGCAGAAGAAGCGCCGGCCAACUACGUGCCAGCAGCCGCGGUAAGACGUAGGGCGCGAGCGUUGUCCGGAUUUAUUGGGCGUAAAGAGCUCGUAGGCGGCCUGUCGCGUCGACUGUGAAAACCCGCAGCUCAACUGCGGGCCUGCAGUCGAUACGGGCAGGCUAGAGUUCGGUAGGGGAGACUGGAAUUCCUGGUGUAGCGGUGGAAUGCGCAGAUAUCAGGAGGAACACCGGUGGCGAAGGCGGGUCUCUGGGCCGAUACUGACGCUGAGGAGCGAAAGCGUGGGGAGCGAACAGGAUUAGAUACCCUGGUAGUCCACGCUGUAAACGUUGGGCGCUAGGUGUGGGGGACCUCUCCGGUUCUCUGUGCCGCAGCUAACGCAUUAAGCGCCCCGCCUGGGGAGUACGG